rnacentral:lncRNA from 1 species
AGAGCAUGACCAUAUCCCAAAAUAUAUCCCAGAUGGAUUAAAAUAUUUUAAAGUGAUAUCAUUAAAAAGUACAUUAAUAAAAGAUACUGGAUGUAAAGAUGUAUAAAAUAAUGUGUAAAAGAUGUAUGAAAGGAACCAAAAAGGGGCUAUCACAUAUGAUCACAUAAAUAAUUUAAAUCUUAGACGUAGAAAGUCAAAAGAAGAUGAAGAACAAACUGAAAACAAGUAUACAGCCAGUACGAUAAAGAGCUGACUAUUAUACAUACAUUUGAAUUUUAUGAAAUAUCUUUCCAUUGCUGCCCAGGGACGAAGGCAUCAUGGAGAGGUAAUAGAGGAAAGAAGUUAUAAAUCAUAUGGCUUUGUAUCGAAGAUUAGGUAUUUUUUUCCUUACUAGUCUGUCACAUAUAUAGUUAUACACAUAAAAAUAUUCCCUCCUUUCAUCAUUUUUCGCUGGUGCUUCACAUAAGUGAGUGGUGGUAGUGAUCUUACUAAUUACUGGAGUUUUCGUUACAGGAUAGUGCUAGAGGAAUAUGACUGAAUUGGAGGAGAGCUGAUCAUCCAGAAGUGGUUGUGGUGUUUGAUGACACUGUGGAUCUCCGCCUUUGAGGAGAUGGUCUGUGCCUUUUCAUUUAUGUGAGGGAAGUUGCAUCAUGGUUGGGAAACAUACUGCUGUUGUUAUUUGGAAGUCAAAGUGUCGAAGCUAGUGACUCUCUUGAUGUAGGGUAGCCACACACGUAGGUUUUGAUUCUUAAUGCAAUUGGCUCACCACACACCCACUCACACUCCCUUGGAGCACGUUUUCCUGAAGAGACCAAAGACGAGACGGGAAAGAGAAAAAACUACAUUUAUCAGCUACGAUUAUAUUUAUGAUCUGGGUUUAAGCCAACUGGGCAUCACUAUAGUGGCAGGCAUGAGUGAAGUGUUGGGAUAUUCUGGAAAUAAUGGUGAUAAAAGGAUUUGGUUCCUCUUGGGUUCAAAUUGUGGCAAUGGUUUCCUUAUUUUGCUGCUUUCUAAUUUUAAGUCAAGGUAAUGGCAGUGAAAUUUAUCUAGAAAAUGCUCCUUUAUCUAGAAAAUGUUACCAUGUGAUCCUGAGAAUUAUCAAAAAGUCAUUCUCGGAGUUCCCAUCGUGGCACAGUGGUUAACGAAUCCGACUAGGAACCAAGAGAUUGUGGGUUCGAUCCCUGCCCUUGCUCAGUGGGUUAAUGAUCCAGCGUUGCCGUGAGCUGUGGUGUAGGUCGCAGAUGCGGCUCGGAUCCCGCGUUGCUGUGGCUCUGGUGUAGACUGGUGGCUACAGCUCCGAUUUGACCCCUAGCCUGGGAACUUCCAUAUGCCGUGGGAGCGGCCCAAGAAAUGGCAAAAAACAAACAAACAAACAAAAAAGUCAUUCUCUAUACUUUUACUUCAGUUCUAGAGUGGAUUCUCUUGUUUCUAAAAAUGCUGAUUAAUAUAGGUAUUCUUGCCAUGUUUGUUGAAUAGAUUUUGUGUGUGUGCAUGUGUGUGUUUUUAGGGCUGCACCACAGCAUAUGGGGGUUCCCAGGCUAGGGAAUUGGAGCUGUGGCUCCCGGCGUACACCACAGCCAUAGCAACAUGGGAUCGAAGCCACAUCUGUGACCUACACCACAGCUCAUGGCAAUGCAGGAUCCUUAACCCACUGAUCGAGGCCAGGGAUUGAACCUGCAUCCUCAUGGAUGCUAAUUAGAUUCAUUUCUGGUGAGCCAUGAUGGGAACUGUAAAUGUUAGAAAAUGUUAAGUUAUAUGGAAGAAAUUUAAAAAGUAAGGCAGAGAAAGGUAAAUAUAGAGGAGGAAAAGUAUGGAGAGCAGAUUAUAAUCUUAAGUUAGAUCAUGAGAGCAACAUUCAUUGCAAAGGAGGGAUUGGGCAAACACAUGAAAGAAAUGGAUUAAAUGAUUCCAAGCAAAGGAAAGAGCAAGUGCCAAGAUCCAAAGGUGGGCAUGUGCCUAGUGUCUCGGAGAAAUUGCAAAGAGGCCAAUGUAAAAUGAGCAAGGCCGUGAGAUCAGAGGUAACAGUGCAGCACUGGAAGAAUUUUGGCUAUUUCUCUGGUGAAAUCUGAAGUCUCUGGAGACUUUUAAGAAGUGUCAUCCUACUUACCAUCUUACAUUUUAAAAGAAAUCCUCUGGUUGCUUUGUUGAGAAUAGACUGCAGCCGGAAAAAGACGGCAGUAGGAGAUCAGUGGUGAGCUGUUGUAAUAUCCACGUGAGAUGACGGGGGCCUGCAUCAAGGUGGAUCUAUGAAGGUGUGGGAGGUGGUGAAUCUGGAUGCAUUCUGAAGUUAGAGCUAAUAGCAUCUUCAGAGAGAUCAGCUAUAAGCUGUGAGUGAACGGGAGGACACAGGAAUGACUGAGCUCUUCAGGCCUGAGGAACUGUAAGUGCAGAUUACCCUCAGUUGAUACAGGUGGAGUGUUGUGUCCAAUGGCUCUGUCAGGGAGGCAGUCAUUGGAAUAAGGUGGCAUUUCAAGUCUCAAGUCUGGAUGCGCUCACUCAAGGAGGCAGUAAAAAUAGAGAGGGUAUCCAAGACCUAAGCCCCGAGAGACUCAGGCGUUCACAAUGGGAGAAAAGCUAACCUAGGAAACAGAAGAAGCAACGGGCAAGGUAGGCAGACUGGAAGCCUCAUGAAGAAGGUGUACUUAGGAAGAGGGAAUGAGCAUCUGAGCUGAGCACUACUGAAGACAUGAAACUUGAGAUUUAGCUGUUGUAUUUAAUAACUGGGAAGUCACUGGCAACCUUGAAAGUAGCAGUCACAGGAGAGUGGUGAGUGGAGUGGGUUUAAGAGGAAAUAGUUGGUGAAGAACUGGAGAUAAUGAAUAGAGACAAAUUCUCAAGGAUUUUUGAUACAAAAAAGGAAAAGGGAAAUUGGGCAGUAACCCACAGGCAAAGGAGAUCAGUCAGAAAAAGACCAGUGAUCACGCUUGAAACUAGAUCAUGGAAUAAGUCUUUUGUGCUUAGAGAUUUAACAGGGCUUGCUACAGAGUAGUUAUACAAGGCGUUGAGUAAAGCUGGGGUGGGGACAGGUAAGAUGAUCUGGAGAUGCUAAAUGGCUGUGUGAGACCCCAGCAGACAUGGCCAACUUAGUACUUCGAUAGGCAGAGACUUCAGGGACCACCUUGGAACUGGAUUAAUACAAAAUGCUAAUAAAACAAUUAUUUGACAAAUGUAAAACUCUUUAAAAUAAUCAAAGAAAAAUUUGGUGGUGGCAUGUUAUAUAUUUGAACUCAGAUUUAACUGAGUGUCAUCCUAAAAGCUGGCGUGCUAUCCAAAAAUGGGGAGCUCAGAAAUUUGUCAAGUAUAUUUAUAUUUUUAAUCUGGCUGAGAUUAGAGAGAAAUUUUUCAUGUGGAUGUUUUCAUAAAACAUAGAAUAAAUGAUGUACUUGAUAAUAUUUUUACAACAAUUGGAGAUAGUUUAUAUAUGAGGUCAAGCAUAGCAUGUUCCAAUUUUGCAGUUUUAUGGAUAUCUGGUUUAAUGCACAAAUCACGCUUGGAGACUUCAGAGGAGUAUACAUAGCUGCUACAGUGAUCAGAUAUGUGGGUCAGACACUUACCAGAAGCAGAAUGAGAUCAUUUGAGAUGAAAGUUGCUGGUGAGAAGCUAGAGCACGGAAACUAGAGGUCUGUAUUGGUUGUUUGAUGGCAGAGAUGAUAAUUUGAUGUGGAAAUUUCAGACCUGUUUUCUUAUUUUUAUAGAGAGCUAUCUCAUCUCUUCAUGAAGGUGAACCAGAGGAAUGCCUGCAAACUCAUAGUGGUUUUCCCAGUAGUAAGGUUGGGGCCUAAUAAAUGAUUAAAAAGGAGCAUGGGUUUUUUUUCUUUUUUUCUUUUUAGGGCCACAUGUGUGGCAUAUGGAAGUUCUCAGGCUAGGGGGUCGGAUUGGAGCUGCAGCCGUUGGCCUAUGCUACAGCCACAGCAAUGUGGGAUCCACUGUGUCUGUGACCUACAGCACAGCUCUUGGCAAUGCUGGAUCCUUAACCCACUGAGUGAGGCCAGGGAUUGAACCCACAUCCUCAUGGAUACUAGUCAGGCUCGCUACCGCUGAACCACAAGGGAAACUUCUAAGAGGUCCAAUUUUACAUCUAAAUAAUCUCAAAUGCCUACAUCUACCAUAGCAGAAACUUAAUAUAACUUUCGUAACAUUGAUUUCUAGCUACAACUAUAUGCUAGUUAGUAGAAUUUCAAAGGAGUCCCCCAAAUAAAUUAGUGUGUUAACAUUUGAAAAAUAGACAUUGUUCUAUGUAGUUGCCUUAGUGAAUCUGCUAAAAACCAUCAUCACUACCAACAUAUUUAUGGCAUAAUUUGUGACUAGAUGGUUUUCCAGGCCAGAAUUAAUAUUAAUGUAUCUAGCAUUAGUUGGCUACUUACUAUGUACCGUGCAUAAUGUGAAAAAUUUUAUUGAGACUUAUGUAAUUAGAUUUUUAUUACAACUAGAAAUUUUUAUUUUUGCAUUUUACUGAUGAGGUUAAUAAUAACCUCCCUGAUAUCUCAGAAAUAGCAACUAAAGCCCACAUACUCUGACUCUGGACUCUAUCUGCUUCACCUACUCCUUCGAUGGUGCUGGAAACAUGAAAUUUCAGAGACUAGUGGUACUUUGAUCUUCCUAUUUGCUACGGUUGAAAAACUGGCCUAAAUAGAUUAGGUACUGAUUNGUGUGUGUGUGUGUGUGUGUGUGUGUGUGUGUGAGUGUUUAGGGCGGGAGUGUUGAGUGUUUUGGUGGAUGUUGGAAAGAGGAAGAAGAAGCAGGGAGUGUAAUUCAUCCCACCCUUACUCCCUUUUAAAAAUAGGAAUUAGCCAUAAAAAAAAAUCUUAAAAUACAUGAAUACCUAUUAAAUUGAGGGUUCCUAAGACUGGAAAUUUGUUUUGGCUUAACUGUACUGCCAAUUGGUCAUGAAGGAAAUUAUUUAUAUUACAAGACAGGGAAGCAACGAGUUUGAUAAUUAUGUGAGUGGAUCCUGCAGUCAGAUUUCCUAGGGUCAAAUCCUUGUUCUUGCCAUUUCUUUGUCCCAGUAAACCUUAUUUUCCUCAUUUCUUCCUAAAUCAAAGGAUCAUGAGGAUUAAAUGAAAUAGUCCGUAUGAGGCAUUUAUCAUAGCAUCAGUCACUUUUAGCUUUUAUCGUGAUGAAGCAUUUCGAUUUAAUAUUAUAAAGUCAUUUCUGAUGACUUUAAAACCAGCAUUUGUCAGGAAGGAUGCUUGUGGAGCCUCUUUUACUGGGUUUAUUUAAAAGUAAAAUGUACUCCAUAGUCUCCAAUGACUGAUGUGUGUUUUUUCCUGUAUCUGAGUGUACAGAUCAGAUGAGCUUUGAAGGUCCUCUUCAACCUUGUGAGCGUGUUUUUUUUUUUGUUUUGUUUUGUUUUUCCAUGUUACCCCUUUUCUCCAUGUUUGCUAGUUUUUCUUCAAAAUAAGAUUGUGUAAUCCAUUCCAUUUUUAAUAACUAAAAAAGAAUAUUUGUUAACUCAUGCUUUCACAGACUUCUGAUGGAUCAGUUUUAGUUUUGGCUACAAACAAACACACCAAAAUAGUUAAAUAAACAAAAGACACAUAUUCUAUUUUUAAGCAAAAUAAUGUAUUAAAAUAAUUUUGAAUAAAUUUAAGUAUUUAAAAAAUGAAGUAAUAGUAAGACAGUUGCAUAAAAAGCCUAGGUUAACAAAAGGACAGGUCAUUUAAUUAUUCUCCCCUAUCUUCCUUCAUUUGCCAACUCGUGUAUUCAUUUGCUCCUGGACACCAUGACGACAAAUUUACCAAGUGACUACUGUGUAUGAUGCUGGCUGCCUGGGAGGAUGCAGACUUCCACAGCCCAAGAUUUCUACUCAGGGGAGCUUGUAAAAACUUUGAACAUGAAAGCAGCAUAGCAAUGCAGAAAAAUCAAAUUUCAAGAGAAUAUCGCGUUGCCGUUUUAAGAUACAUUUAGCUCGGCAGACUUAGGUCACCCUCCCUUCCUCUGCUUCCUAAAUGCAUGGAACUCUUUAUGACACAGAUUUCAUCUGAUAGGAAGAAUUCUUAAAAGGCUUAAUCCUGCUUCCCUCAAACUAAAGUUGUACUUAGGCUGUUUGGACGAGUUAAUUAUGGGCAAAGACCAGAAUACUAAUUAGUAUCAAAAGUGGAAACAUAUACAUAGAAAAUAUAUGAAUGGUGAUUUGAAGCUUAUUAAGACUUUCUUAUCAGUGGCCUUGCUGAGUGAAGUUUUUGAUCAAGCUUAUCUCUAGGAAAUGUGAGAAAAUAAAAAGUCGUGAAGGCACAGGAACAUGUUUUCCUUCCUGUUUGAGCUUCACCAAUUCCACCUCUCAGAAGGUAACAUGGUCCUAAGGAGCUUCUGUUGUUGAUGAGUGCGAUUAAAAUGUUAACUUCAAAAAUCAUUAAAUGAUAAAAAUUCAUGGUAAAAUUUCAAGGGUUACCAU